rnacentral:rRNA from 1 species
GCUUAGCCUUAAACCCAGAUGUACUAUUACACACACAUCCGCCCGGGUACUACGAGCACAGCUUAAAACCCAAAGGACUUGGCGGUGUCUCAGACCCACCUAGAGGAGCCUGUUCUAGAACCGAUAAUCCUCGUUAAACCUCACCACUUCUUGUCUUUAUCCGCCUAUAUACCGCCGUCGUCAGCUUACCUUGUGAAAGCCCCAGCAGUAAGCAAAAUUGGUAAAUCCAAAAACGUCAGGUCGAGGUGUAGCGUACGAAGUGGGAAGAAAUGGGCUACAUUUUCUAAUAAUAGAUUAUUACGAAUAGCACCCUGAAAAAGUGCCUAAAGGUGGAUUUAGCAGUAAAAAGUAAACAGAGAGUUCUUUUGAAUCAGGCUCUGAGACGCGC